rnacentral:tRNA from 1 species
GCCUGGCUGGCUCAGUUAGUAGAGCAUGUGACUCCUGACCUCAGGGUUGUGAGUUCAAGCCCCAUGUCGGGUG